UACGUAGGGUGCGAGCGCUGUCCGGAAUUAUUGGGCGUAAAGAGCUUGUAGGCGGUUUGUCGCGUCUGCUGUGAAAAUCCGGGGCUCAACCCCGGACUUGCAGUGGGUACGGGCAGACUAGAGUGUGGUAGGGGAGACUGGAAUUCCUGGUGUAGCGGUGAAAUGCGCAGAUAUCAGGAGGAACACCGAUGGCGAAGGCAGGUCUCUGGGCCACUACUGACGCUGAGAAGCGAAAGCGUGGGGAGCGAACAGG
rnacentral:rRNA from 1 species